rnacentral:rRNA from 1 species
UACGUAGGGUGCAAGCGUUGUCCGGAAUUAUUGGGCGUAAAGAGCUCGUAGGCGGUCUGUCGCGUCUGCUGUGAAAACUCGGGGCUUAACCCCGGGCCUGCAGUGGGUACGGGCAGACUAGAGUGCGGUAGGGGAGACUGGAAUUCCUGGUGUAGCGGUGAAAUGCGCAGAUAUCGGGAGGAACACCGGUGGCGAAGGCGGUUCUCUGGGCCUGUACUGACGCUGAGGAGCGAAAGCGUGGGGAGCGAACAGG